ACGUCGCAGACGACGGCGGAGGAGAAGCAGCUGAAACGGCCGAAUCGCUGCACGACGUGCAGGAAACGGGUCGGGUUAACCGGGUUUAAGUGCCGGUGCGGGACGACUUUCUGCGGUGUCCACAGGUACCCGGAGGUCCACGGAUGCACCUUCGACUUCAAAUCGGCCGGUCGUGAAGAGAUCGCGAAGGCGAACCCGUUGGUCAAAGCGGCGAAGCUUCAGAAGAUUUGAUCUGGGCCGUUCGAUGCGUUGACUUUUCUGUCUUCUUGAAAACGCGUCCGUCUCGGAGUAAUCAGGAUGGUGUGAGAUUGAUCUCAGCCGUUCAUCAUGGGUCAUUAUGUAAAAGAUAUGUAUUAUCAAUGGACACGUGUCACGUGACGCUUCCAUCUUCCCAAUUAAUUUUCUUUUCCCUAUAAAGAAAUAAGAUUAUUCGCGUUGGCUUUUCUUCUCCGGUGAACUAAAUUAUGUGGCUUUUGCGUGAAACAGAGUUAAGUUUUUUUUUUUUUUUGGUCAUCUAAGAUUUGUAUUAACUAUUAAGAGUUCGGGUUACAAGACAGGUCCUUCUAUACAGUGAAGACUUAACCCAAAUAAUACAAGAUCAAGGAAUAUAACCAGUCCCGAUCGUAUACCAACCCCAAAAAUAUGUAAAUAAAGGAAGAACCAUUCUCAGAUGCCAAGCUGAUAUUCAGACAAACAUACUUACAAUUAAUAAUUUUGAAACUAAAAGCUGAUAAUCUUACAAAGCGUAAAAAGGCAUGGCAUAUAGGUUCUUAUGUUAGUGCUAUAUGGAAGUGUAAUAUAUUAAACACGCGAAUUUUGAUUCCACCUUGAAUAUUGGAUAGUAUAGAAAGUUAUCACCAGUGAAAAGAAAAAAUUAUACGUUUAACAAUCAAAUUUCCAAUACAAUCUUUAAGAGUAUAGAAUAUGUUAAUAGAUUAUUUAUCUUUAAACAAAAUGUAUGAUUAAUAGUUUAUGUAUCUUAAUAGUUCUUUCACAAAAUGUGUUUGAGAUAUUUGUCAUUUGUGUUCUUUUUAGAGUUAUUCUUGUGAGGUUCACCAACCAAUAGAAUUUCAUUAUUUCAAAUUUGAUAUCUUUUAGAAAAAGAAACAAAAUAUUGUCAAAAUAUAUUAUAUUUUAAAAAUAAAAAAGGUUAAAAAAUAAAAUAAAAAAUAAUAGUUAGAGAAAAACGAAUUAAAAAAAAUAAUAUUUUUAUCGUCGUCAACAAAACACUAAACCCUAAAUCCUAAUCCCUAAACCCUAAACCCUAAACCCUAUAAACCCUUGGGCAAAUUUUAAACCCUUAGAUAAUUCAUACUCUAAAUCAAAAACACUAAAUCCUAAAACCCUAAACCCUAAACCCUUGAGUGUUUAGUGUUUUUAAUUUGGAGUUUAAGAUUUAUCCAAGGGUUUAGGGUUUACCUAAGGGUUUAGGAUUUAGAGUUUAGGGAUUAGGGAUUAGGAUUUAGGGUUUAGUAUUUUGCUGAGGACGUUAAAAAUAUAUUUUUUUAAUUACUACUUUUUUAAAUUUAUUUAUUUUUACCUUUUUAUUUUAAAAAUAUAAUAUAACUUGUAGCUUGAGAAAAUAUUUUGUUUCUUUUUUUAAAAGAUUUCAAAUAUGAAAUAACACAAUUCUAUUGGUUGGUGAACCUAGAGGUUCACCCUAGGGGGUGAACCCAAGAAUAAGUCUUCUUUUUAUAUAUGUAAGGAUUAUGGUUUUGAGUUUUGCACAUCUAAUCGGACAAUGAUCUAUAACAGACCAAAAAGACAAAAAGAAGUCUACAUAGACCAAUUGUGAUCUAUCAUGGACCAAGGGCUGGUAAAUUACCAAUUUGCCAUUAAUGAAAGUGGCAUGUGAACCAUUGGAUCAAAUAAUGGAAACUCUAAUCUCGGUCGUCCAAUUUUCUUCUUCCUUUCUCUUUCUCUCGCCUGGGUCCCACCCAAAAUCCAUAUUAACUCCCUCACAUCUUCAUCUUCUUCAUUACUCAACCACCCACGAAAAUUCAUUUCAAUCACCAACCAAAGUUCUCUUCUUCAAGUUUUUAUCCACAAACCUUUAAUUCUGUUUCUUAGGGUUCUUCUACAGCUUUUCUCGUCCUUGAAACAGCAAAUGUGCCUCGUCCUUGGUCUUGAAAUCGCUUGGUAAGUGUAUACUCUCUCCCUCUCCUUCUCUCUCACUCUUCUCUUCUUUUUUAUUUGUUUUCUGUUUAGUUUUAGUCCCAUAAUAUGUAUGUUACCAUUAUGAGUCAGGUUCCAUGGUUUAAGAUAACGUUCUUAUAGUAUGAAUCAUGAUAUUGUAGAUUAAAUCAUUUUUUACAUUGGUUACACUGGUACAACAGACGUUGAGUACACCUGGUAAACCUGGUAAAACUCGUUAAGAAUAACACUAGUACAACUAGUAAACCUGGUACAACUCUAAGUAACACUGAAUAAGACUAUGGGUAAAACUUGUAUAACUCUUAGUAGUCCUUUGACAAGUCAAAUACUAGUAUAACUAGUAUAACUUAUAAACGACUGUUACAUGUAAACCAGUAUAACUGGUAAUACUAGUAUAACCCGUAUUUUAGCGACUUUAGAACUCGUAUAACUGAUAUAACUUGUAAGCUGUAAUGUUGGUUUUAACUCUUUUCAGGAACUAUGGAUGGUACUGGAGCUGUGGUGAUACAUUUUGAUCAUGGUGGAGACAAAAAUAUUUAUACAUUAGUAAUGAGAGGAAAAUAUGAGGAGAUAACCUAUUCUCGCUUGGUUGAUAGAAUAGGCAAGAAAAUGAAUAUCGAUGUAGCUGCGACGAAGCUUCAACUGAGCUACUAUCCCCUGGUCGUGGAUAAUAAGAGGCCUUGUUAUAUUUUGGAUGAUGAAGAUGUUUUAGGAUAUUUAAUGGAGGUGGAUAGGAAAAACCGGCGUAGUGUUUUGCAUGUGGAGUUUUCCGAAAAUAUCUCAGAAAAUCAGAGUAACGAGCAGUUUUCUAUGAACGAGGAAAUUCAGAUUGAUGCCAGAGCUAAUGAUGGUAUGGCUGGAGUUGAGGAGUUGGCAAUUGUUCCUCAAAACCAAUCAGAUGGGUAUAAUCAUGAGGAGUUAGCAAUUGUUCCUCCAAGACAAUCAGAUAGGUAUGAGCAUGAGGAUUGCAAUGAAGAGGGUGAUGAAAUGAAUGAUAGGGAGGAGUUGCCGGCUGUUACACCAUCUGUAGACACAAUUGUCAAUGCUGAGUGGGAUGAUGGUAUUGAUAUGAGUUUGUAUCAAGAAUUUGCGACUAAGGAAGAGCUGAGGAAUUUAGUGGACGCAGGAGUGCAUUCGAAUUGUUUUGAGGUUGAUAUAAUCAAGACGAAUCGUACUGUUUAUGUAUUGAAAUGUCGUGGGGUUGGAUGCAGAUGGUAUUUACGAGCUGCAAGGCUGAAAAACUCAGCCUUUUUCAGUGUCAGAACGUAUAGAAAGAUGCAUACGUGUACUCGGGGAGAGGGAAGUGUAACCAAGAGGGGGAAAAGAGGAACACCAAGCUUGGUCGCAGGAGUGGUGCAUGAAGAUUAUCCAGGCCAAUACAAGACUCCAGAUCCAAAGUCUCUCAUAAAGUUGGUGAAGAACAAACUAGGUGUCACGGUUUCAUAUUCUACAGCUUUGAGAGGGAAACACAAAGCUGUCAGUGAUUUGCGUGGUAACCCUCAGGAGAGUUUUGCUAGACUUCCAUCUUACUUGUACAUGUUAGAAAGAAUGAAUCCUGGUACCAUCACAAGAUUAGUAGUGGAUGAGAAGAAGCAGUUUAAGUAUAUGUUCUUUGCGCUUAAAGCUUGCAUCGAAGGGUUUCAAGCAAUGAGGAAAGUGAUAAUAAUGGAUGGAACUCACCUGAAGGGUGUGUAUGGAGGAGUGCUUCUCAUUGCCACUGCUCAGGAUCCAGAUCAUCAUCAUUAUCCCCUCGCUUUUGCGGUAGUAGAUGGUGAGAAAAAUGCGAGCUGGGAGUGGUUUUUGACUAUACUGAAAACUUUGAUACCAGAUGAUCCUCAGCUUGUUUUUUGUACUGAUAGAAACCAAUGCAUCAUCAAGAAGGUGCACGAGGUGUACCCAAUGGCGAUCCAUGGAUAUUGCAUUUUUCACUUGUCUAAUAAUGUUGCCGGAGCAUGCAGCAAAGUUAACAAGAAAGGGGUUGCCAGAAAGUUUAGAAAAAUUGCUGGUAUGUACACAGAGGUCGAGUUCAGAAAAAGCUACAAUGAUUUCAGGAGAACGUUGCCUCAAGCCGCUGAGUAUCUAGAUGAGAGUGUUCAUGAGACCAAAUGGGCAAGAUGUCAAUUUCCGGGAGAAAGGUACAACAUAGAUACAACCAACACUGUUGAAUCAAUCAAUGGUGUUUUAAAGGAACCAAGGAAAUAUGCAUUGUUGCCAAUGCUUGAUGUGAUCAUUGGGAAGAUGGUAGAAUGGUUUAACAAAUAUCGUGAUUUAUCUUUACGCGUUCCAGAGAGACAGAUACUAAUUCCCUACGUGCAUGGGAUAUUGCAUCACAGUUAUCCGAAGGCAAAAAAGCUCACGGUGAUGGAGCUAAACAGAUUUGAACGUCAGUACACUGUGAUUGGCAAAGAUGGUCAAGGUUAUUAUGUUGAUUUAGGCAACGGAACAUGCCAGUGCAAGUGUUUUGAUAUUGAUCGGUAUCCUUGUGUGCAUGCACAGGCUGCGAUCAUCGCGCGUGGAGAAAUGUCUGAAGACUAUUGUUCUAAGUAUUAUUAUAUGGAGCAGUGGACUUUGGCAUAUUACAAGACAAUAUAUCCAGUGCCUCAUCAUUCAUUAUGGGAAAGUUAUGAAAUUCCAGAUGAAAUCCUAUCUCAGGUUGUCUACCCUCCGCAUGUGGAAAGAAAGAAAGGAAGACUACAAGAAACUAGAUUUCCAUCAGCUGGGGAAUAUCGGAGGAAGAAAAAGAAGAAGUAUCCACCAUUGGUGUGUGAGAAUGAUGGAAUUGACAGCGAUGAAAGUGGAAGCGAUGGAAUUGAUGAAUGAGUCUUACUUAUGUGUUAUGGAACUUGCUUAUGUCUUGUGAGUCUUACUUAUGUGUUAUGGAACUUGCUUAGUCUUGUGAGUCUUACUUAUGUGUUAUGAAACUUAUUUAUGUGUUGUAGAACUUAUUUAUGUAAUGUGUUGUUUCUGUCAGGUACAACAGGUACAAUUGGUAAAACUUCAUUAAACCUAACAUUCAUGUUUUUGUGUUGUUAUACUGGUACAACUAGUAAAACUAAAAAUAAGUUAUACUGGAAUAACUAGUUCAACUAUGUCUAGUUUACUAAAAUAGGUUCUACUGGAAUAACUAGUACAACUAUGGAGGAUCUGAAAUUUAAAUAUUAUUUUAGGUUUUUUCAUAUUAAUAAAACAUUCAAAUGGUCUAAUUUUAAGUGUUUGGAUAGGUUUCUUUGUGUUUUGUAUUGUUUUUUUUUUUUUUCUGGAUUUCUACCUCCAUCACAAAAGUUUGCUUGAUCUACCUUAUACUUUUAAGGUUUGUUAACAUAUUUGUCCACAUAUUUUUUGAAAAACAUACAUGACAAGUAUUUUCACAAUAGUGAUGAUUUCAUUGUAUCCGGGCAAACACAUGUUAACAUAAAUGAGUGGUACAACUUAGAUAAUGGUAUUUCUCUUUGGUACAACUAAUAUAUUCAGGUUUCACUGCCAAAGUACAACUCUGUACAAACUAGUAUAACUAAUAAACUAGUACAACUUUGUGCAAGCCAGUAUAACUAAUAAAUUAGUACAACUUUGUAGAAACCAGUACAACUAAAAAACUAAAACAACUUUGUGUGCAUAAUGAGUUUCAAAUAAGUGGAUUCCCAGAUAAGUCCUACACUUUUUAAUUUAACACUAGGUGUACUAGUUUUUCUAGUUAUACUACUUUCAUAUUUUUUGGCAUAGUUGAUGCUGUAAUGUUGUUUUACUUCCCACCUGUAAUUGCAACCUGUUCAACCACCAAGUUUGGUUUUAGGUUUUAAAACACACACACAUACAAGUUUUAGGUUUUAAAACACACACACAUACAAGUUCAUCCGUUUUAGGUUUUAAAACAAACACAUACAAGUUCCAAAAACAACAACAUAGUUCAGCCAAAUCAGUUUGGCGUAAAAGGAGACCUCAACAAAUGAGAACGCUUGGGCACCCUCUUUGGCAUCUCAGCAGGAUCCUGUGAAUCUCCAACCGAAGCUGUGUUCUCUAAAGCGUCAUCAACUCUAACCUCACCUUCCUUCUCCAAAGCAUCAUCAUCUACAACCUCAUCUGUCUUGUCCACAACAGCUUUUUCCGCAGCAGCCUUCUCAAAUCUCUCUGCAGUGUCUGCCAUAAUUUGAAGUGUAGAUUGCUCAUCUCCAUCUUCAGUAUCUACAUUGAACAAAAAUACAUCCUGACUUAGAUCAUCAUCAUUAAAAAUAAAAUUUGAAGUUAUAUGUUAUCAUGACUUACCUUGCAUCAACUUCUCAGCCUCUACCUCGAUAUGUUUCUCACCAUCCUUCUCAGCCUCUGCCUCAAUCUGUUUCUCACUAUCCUUCUCAGCCUCAUCACCCUUGUCAGCCUCUGCCUCAAUCUGCUUCUCACCAUCCUUCUCAGCCUCAUCACCCUUGUCAGCCUCUGCCUCAAUCUGCUUCUCACCAUCCUUCUCAGCCUCAUCACCCUUGUCAGCCUCUGCCUCAAUCUGCUUCUCACCAUCCUUCUCAGCCUCAUCACCCUUGUCAGCCUCAUCACCAUCCUCACCCUCCUUAUCAGGCUCAUCAUCACCAUCCUUAUCAGCCUUAUCACCAUCCUUGUUAGUCUCAUCACCAUCCUUAUCACCAUGUAUCUCACCCUCCUUAUCACCAUGCAUCUCGCCCUCCUUAUCACCAAGUAUCUCAGCCUCCUUAUCACCAUACAUCUCGCCCUCCUGGAACGACCAACUUUCUCUCUGGAUUUUUUCUUCUUCCAACUCCUUUACUCUUGCUUCCAGAAGACGAAUUGUUUCGUCUCUCAAUGCAAAUCCAUCAUCCAUUCUUUUGUUCAACUUCAACUCUAAUUCUCUUAAACUCUCACGACCUGCUUCGCCCCCUGUUUGAACUCCUGCCUCACCCCCUGCCUCGCCUCCUGCCUCGCCUCCUGCCUCUCCUCCUGCCUCGCCUCCUGCCUCGCCCCCUGCCUCGCCUCCUGCCUCCUCUUGUUGCUCUCGGGUUCUCACAUCCAUCUCAUAUAGAUCCGGCCAGAAGAUUUUUUUCCCUGGUUCCAUUAGGAUCUUGUUCCAACUGUCAACAGCUAUGUCUAGCGUAUCCGAAUCAUCUAUCAGCUCCAAGUCUUCAAAAGUCCCUUCAUCCAUUAUUUCAUACAAAAGGUCUACUUCAUUUCCUUUUGGUUCCAAAACACUGAUAAUCUCCUGAAAUGACCAACAACAAAUUACACAUUUAAUUAACUAUGAACUUGAAGAAAAUGACAUAAACAACACUUAAAAAAAUUAUAAGCUUUUACCUUUGUGUUUCCUAGCGUCCGAUAAAUCAUGUCAAGUGGAAAUCCUGUUGUUCCGGUCCUCUUGAACUUCCAUUUGCACAUUCUUGGACAACCAUCAAAACAGUUUGGAACAGGCUCUCUGAAUCUUUCCCUAAGGACAGGGAUACAUUCAAAUGCUAAUAUCUGCACAUCAUUUCACACAAUCACUUUAGUUAUAUUAUAACAAAUAUGCUUAUGAAAAAUGUUAUUCAUAUACCUCCAAAGGGUUGAUAAACCCAGGAAAUACCCACUGUGCAUGCUCUGGGAUCCCAUCACGAAAAUGAUCCCUUACAUGAAAAAUCUCCUUCAUGCAAUCAUCAAAGGUGUAACGGCCCCAUGGAAAUUCGGUGCAAAACUCCAAAUCUUCUACUGCUUGGAGAAGGAAAUACUCAAUGAAGUAUCCUGCUUUGGACCUUCCUCUUAAAACUGUAGCCAGAAAGUAAAGAACCGCCAUCCUCAGACGAUCGCCACUACCAUCAAAUUUCAUCUUCUGAAGUUUCUCCUUAACAUCCGCUUCUGUCACUUGCAGACCCUUUUCCUUCCCAUCCUUUGUCUUCUUCACUUUAAAAUACUUUCUCGCAAACUUCAGUCUCCCUAUGCUCUGAUAGUUUUCUGGAUAUGAGUGGCAGUAUAAACCAGAGAGGAGGCUAUGUUCCCUGAUAGAGUAUCUAAUUGGAACACCGUUUACCCCAAACCAAGCUUGUCGACCCUUCUCUGUAUGCAUAGUACGAAGUAGCAACAUCCACAAUCCCAUCACUUUUCUUGUUGAGGUACAAUCCAUGUGGAAUAUAUGCUUGAACUGAGGAUGUUCCUGAAACCAACUCUUCUCUGAGGCAUCCAACUUACCAAUCGUCUUGUUCAGAAAAUCGUGUUGAUGGCACCUUGAGGAGAGCUUGCAACCCUUUCCAUAGUUGCUCGGAUUGAAGAAAAAACCAGCAGGUCUGUCAGCUUCUACGGUCAUAUCAUCACUCUCAACCUGAAAAAUACAAACAAAAUACAAAGAAUAAAUAACUGAGUUAUACAACACAUAAACACUUAGUUGUACCAGUUACACUAAUUAAAUUAAAAAUAAUAUUACUAGUUCUACCAGCAAGCCUAGUUAUACAACAACAACACCAUCUCAUUAAACAGUUAUACAAAAUACUUCUCUAGUUAUACUAGUCAGACUACGUAUAAGAAGCGUAGUUGUACCAGUUAUAUUACUUAUAAAAAAAAAUUUACUAGUUAUCCUGAAUUUGUUUACAACAUAUUAUUACCAGUUGCACCAUUUUCACUCUUUUAGUUGUACUAGUAAUUUAAUACUCGGUUGUAUUAGUUAGACUAAUUAUACUUUUCAUAGUUAUACCAGUUAUAUUAGUUAUAAGAAGUGUGGUUGUACUAGUUAUACUAGUUCCAUUGAUUCUGUUUUACAACAUUUUAUUACCAGUUGAACUAGUUUCAUUCUUUUAGUUGUACUAGUUACACUUCUUAUAUAAUCACUACUUAUUUUUUUUUUCGACCCUAUGAUAAAUAUUUCUAGAACCAUUUAAGUUGACUUGUUUACCGUUCUUGGAGCGUCGUUGUCAAUGGCAGCAGAUCCAAUAGCAGCCUCAUGUGAAUUUGAAUCUAUGUUGUUAGAUCCAAUCUGCUCACGGUUCCUAUUUGUUAGUCCAAUUUUAUCAUAAAAAUUCCAAAACCAUUUUAAUUGAUUUGUUUACCGUUUGCCCGUCAUUGUUAAUGGCAGCCUCGGGUGAGCCUGAUUCUCUGUUGGUAGAAGUUAUUGGAGCUUGCAGUGGAUUCUCCGCCUCAUUGGGUGUUUGAGUAGGUGAUUUUUGUGGCUCAAUCGGAACUGAUGGGCUUGGCGUACCCUCUCUAUCAUCCUGCGAAGGUAACUCCGUUGAUAGUGGCGGAUAAUGAUCAGGAUCGGCUUGAUGUUCUGGUGAAGAUGCGGUCUGAGGCCGCUUGGUUGGAUUGGACGAGGACUCAUCGUCUACACCACUGUCUCGCUUCCUCUUCUUCUCUGCGGUUUCAAUCUUCUUUUUCUCUGCAUCUCUUUUUUUUUUAACGGCUUCUCUCCUCCUUUUCACCGCUGCUUGUUUUUUCUUUAUCACAGAGUCUUUCUUCUUCUUUUCCGCCUCAGCUUUCUUCUUCUCCACCGCAGCUUUCUUCUUCUCCACCACUGACUCAUUCUUCUUCUUCUUCUCCGGCGCACCUUCUUUGUUCGUUUGUUCGGUGAAACGAGUCUUUGGAGCCAUAGUGUUUCAAAGAGUAACACGAAAUAGAGAAACAAAUGAGAUAGAGGGAGAUCGUGAUGAUUGUGGUAGAGUUUGAUUAGUGAGAUGAGAUAGAGGGAAGGGGGAGAGAUCGUGAAUUUUUUUCUGUUGGUUAUGUCGGGGAAGAGGAAUUAGGGAUUUAGUUUGAUUUAGGGGGAAGGAUCCGGGAAGGGCACGCGGGUCGGGUUAGUGGGUGGGGUAGGUUGGUUGGAUAUGUAAAUAAGUUAAAGUUUUAGGUUUUAUAGUAUUUUCAGCUUAAUUUCGAUUUAUUAUUAAUUCAUUAAAAAAAUAAAAACAGAAGUGUCCUUUUCCAGAUUUUUGUGUGCCCAUUUGGUCGAUCUCAGCAUUUGAUUCCAUCUAAUCCCACUUCAUAUCUAUAUAUAUAAAGUAGAGUUACUCUCUCCUGUGAGAGCGCCACGUCAUCAAAUUCUGUGAGGAGAAGACGACGCGUGUCACUCCGUUUGCGUUGAGUUUCGUUUGUCUCGAUCUUUUGUUUAAAGUUGGGCCAAACUAAACAUCAUAAAGCCCAAUAUUGUUAGAAGUUCAGUACACCGUCUAACCUCUGCUUCAUCUCCGUUAGCCUGACCUGCGCCGUAAUGUCAGAAAGAUGUUCUAUCGACUCCCACCGAAGAUACGGAGGCGUAACGAUUGUCGAUUGGAUUCACUCAACACAUUUAAUGUUGUCUUUAACGCCACUGAACCUCUCCUCCCAUGACUCCUCCUCUCUCAAUGGUUGCUAAUCUACACCUAUAAAAAGGGAGUUCGAUUCUGUAAAGUCCAUCACUUUCUUCUUCUCAUUUUUUAUUAUCCACACAAAUCCACACACCCAGAGUGGCAACCUCUUCCCAUCUGCUCGCCGACUUGAAAGCAUACUCUGUAUAUUCAUAAAAUUUGUAUAUGUGCUCUCUCUCUCUCUCUCUUUUCAUCUCAACUAUGUUACUCUGUUUUGAUAUUUGUUUGAUCCAGUGUUAUAUCUAAUUCUUCAUCUCACUUCCAGUAACCGGUAAGGAGAGAUGAAGCAUAUAAAUAAUUAGUUCAUCAAUCAGUGGAAUUGGCACAUCAAUCCAUCUUCUUCCACUGUCUUGAAUUGGCAUAUAGAUAGAUAUUGACCUAACACUUCUCUGGUCUUAAAGAAGUAUCCUAACCUUAUAAUAGAUUUGACUCGAGUCUGAAACAACUUUGUGUGUAUGAAAUUGAUGCAGGUGAAAGUACCCGGAGAUAUCAGUAGAAAUAACAAAUAUAUGGAGUCAAUUUGGGAGCUGCAUUGGAUGAGAUGUGAAGCAGUAAUUAGGGGGCUUAUACAGGAGACGGGGCAGUACUAGAAAGCAGCUUUUUGUGCAAUUACAACAUUGUAAGUAGUUUCGUUAUGUCUUGCCAUAUCUAUAUUUAAUUAGUAGUACACAAACCAACGAUGAAAAAUGAAGAUUCAAGCAUUUUUUUUUAUUUUUUAUUAAAAUUUAUAGUUUUUUUUUAUAAGAGUAGUCUCUCAUGUUUAGUGUUUUCACUGGGUUAAGUGUGGAUUUUAGAAAUUGUUCUGUAGGGAUGAUGAGUACUUUUGUAUAUUUCUCUAUGAUUAUGUUUUGAAAGUGGAUUUAUUGAGUGACGUUUUGGGUGUUUGGGUUUUCACGGUAGUAGAAUGCAAUGGUGGAUUUUUGUUGGUUGGGAACGGUAAAGAAAAAGUUGAAGCAGAAACAAUGUAACAUCUGACCCUGGAGAUCAUUGGGGCUGGGAAGAAGAAGCUUUAUGAAGCAAAAGUGUAGGUGAAGCCAAGGUUGAACUUGAAGGAGUUGCAGGAGUUCAAGCCUGCCGGUGAUGCUGCCCCUACCAUCACUCCUUCCUAUCUUGGCUGCAAAUAAGGUAUGACUACAAGCAUUACAUAGACGUAUGAAAAACAAAGAUUGAUCUAGAUUACCUUAUUAGAGGAUUGUUGUUCUUCUGCAUACUACAUACACGGACAUUGUCAAAGAAUUUGGUAUGAUCUGACUGGUUAAAAUAUACUGUUUCACCCAUAUUUCAGCAAAGGAGUUCAAAAUGAUCUCACCCCGAGAAAGUCAUCUAUAAAGCUGAUUGAUCCUAAGCGAGCUCACCAAAUUAGCAGAAGCGGUAGAUGAGGUAGAUGAAGAGAGCAAAGUAGAGACAGUAAUGGUGACAAUGAUCUCUUUACAGAGUGUACGGAAAUAGUGGCAGUGACUACAUCAGCAAAUACUCCAAAAAGAAGUGGAUGACUUCAACGUACCAAGCUUUUGUGUUUCCAUGUCCAACAGUGUAUGAAUUUUCGUUUGUCAUUCGUUUUUUCUUAACUUUAUAAAAAAUUCCUUUUUUAUUAUAUGUUUAUGGUUUUCGAAAAUUUAAAAAAGGAAAUUAAAUUAAUAAAUAAAUCAUAGAAUUUUAAAUGUAAUAUUUUUAAUUCAUUAAAGUUGUCAAUGUAAUCAACCAUUGUUAGAGUUAACGGGAGCACGACACAUAGGAAACUGACUUUUCAAAUAAUAUUAUAGAGAUAAGUUAUGGAAAAACAUAAUUACAAAAAAUUGGGUAAUUCUCUCAAAUAGUCCUUUUUAGGUUUUUGUCACAAAGAUAGCAUUCAAAAAAUAAAAUGACCAAAUAACUCUUUUUUAUUUUGAAAUUUUUAAUAUUUAUUUUUAUUUUUUUACAAUCAUAUCUAUUUAUCCAAAUAGAUGAAGAUAAAAUUAUAGGAUCUUUGACAUUGUAUGCGUACAAGAAGCAUACAACUUUUAAAUGUACACAUGUGUUUAACUUCUAUUGUUUUUAACACCAAAAAAACUUCUAUUGUUUUAGUUAUAAUUUACCUAUUUCUUUUAUACAGUUAUAUUUUACACAAUCACGAAAUUUUAUUUAGACAAUAAAUAUACUAUUUAGAAAAUUAGGAUCAUAUAUUUACAUGCAGUGAUAGCCAAUAAAACAACAUAACUAAAUAUCUAACAAAAUACAAUAAUUUUUAAAGCAUUAGGAGAUGAGUAAAUUUUGACAUUUUGAAAAACUAAAAACAUUUAUAUAUGAUAUGCAUUUUACCAUUUACAUAUAUGUAUCAUAAAUAUAAAUACUAUAAUAAAUUUAAUUAGAAAAAUAAAUAAAAUUCCCGGGCGUAGCCCGGGCUUGCCCUAGUUUUACAUUAAAAAGAAGUUUGAAAUCAGAAAUGCUUCUUUUUUCAAAAAAAGAAAGAAAGAAAUGCUUCAACUUCACUCCAUUUUUCAUUUUAUAAUAAAGUAAAAUUGAAUUUACUACAUAAAUGGAAUAAUAUUUUUUGUUCAUUACUCCAAAAUAAAAUAAGGCCAGGAUAAAAUAAAUUUUAUUAUGAAGUUGCUAUAUUUUAAAAGAAGAAAAGUAGAAUUUUAUAUUGGAAAUGCUGUUAGAUACAAGUUUGUGACCAACUAUUGUUGUUCCUUUGAAACGCAAUACAUACAAAGUUGAGCAAAGCUUACUUAACCUGUUAAUUUAAUAUUAAAGUUGGAAGUAAUAUUAGUUUGUAUGGUCUAAUUAUAUUCCAAAUAUUUCUACAAUUUAGGUAGAUCGAUAAUAUACUUCGGUUAUUGUAUUCAUUUGAAUAGUUUUUUCUGAAAAAAGCACAAAACUAUAUGCCAGGCGAAAUAUACAAAUUAGAUGAAUAAUGGGCGGUGGUGACAUACGAUAAAGAGAAACCCUUCUCGACUGUCACCGUCACCGAUUGUUAUGUUCAUUGGUCCACAUGGGUCGGCUUUGUUGUUGUAUAUCGGCUGCUGCAUCAGCAAUAAUUUGCAAUCAAUAAAGUAAAAGAAUCAAAUCAUUUGCACAUAAACAUAAAGUAAGAGAAUCAUCUUUUAUUUUAAUUUUAAUAACGAAAAAUGUUAAAACAAUAUCAAAUAUGGAAAACUGAAAGUUUUCUAUAUAACUGAUCUUAAAAGUAGGAGUUAUUUUCUUUUUAGAACUAGUUUUUCAGUUGUUUAGUUUUUAGUGGUUGAUUUAGCAUAUAUUCCGAGUACUGUUGCUUUAUAAUUCGAAUCAUGAUCAGCUUGGGAUCAAACGGCGAGAGGGGAAGAAGAGAGUAAAGCAAAGUAAGAGACAAAAUAUUUUUAUCUUCUUUUAAAACUUGUUAAGAUGGAGAUGAAGGAAACAAAACAUGUAAUGAAAUUGAUUAAAUAUUGAACCGAUAUGUCUUAGAUUUUGUUUGUACAAUUCGAUUUGUUUCGUUUUUUUUCUUCUGAGUUUUGCUUGCAAACGAAACAAAAUUCAAAAAGAACAAAAGUACAGCUUAGGCAUAUGUCUUAGCUUUUGUUGUACAACUCGACAAGUCAUUUUGUGCAGUUUUUUCUGAGUUUUGCUUGCAGAUUUUUUUCAUCUUCCUAUCGUGUAACGAAACAAAAUUCGAAAAGAACAAAGUACAAAGCCAAUGUUUGAGUUGUUAAGGUUUCUGUAACCUUAUAAAGAGCUUGGCACAAACAUAAAGCAAAGAAGAAGUGUUUAGUUCAGCUUGGCACAUAAAAAAAAAGAAGUGUUUGGUCAAGGCUAUAAAAAUAGGAUACACACUUUCAACUAAAAUACCUUUCUACGUACAAUAUAUAAAAUGAAAGAACAUCUAGUAACAGUGUCAAGGCCGCAUGGGUGCUUAGAUUAUAACUCUCUUUGUUAAAAUAUUAAGAAAGUGGUGAGAAAGUUUAAUAAAACAAAGCAGGAAAAAUGGUGAGUAUAAUUUGAUUCUUGGGUUUUUGGUUACCACUUCACUAGUUUAAACCAGCAAAAUACUUACGAACGGUCUUAAAUAAUUAAUAAAUUCAAAGACAGCAAAGAAUUAACGAGUAAGAUAAGUCCAGUUUAUAUCAUACAUUCAUCUAUCUUACAAACUAACAAUGUUAUAACCUAAAACAUAAGCAAGCAAUACUUGAGCAUAUACUCAUAAAUUUCCCAAAUACAAAAUAAAAAAAUGCCUAAUAAGAAUGUGAUUUUUUUAACAAAAUGAAUAUUUUUUUCUUUCUUUUACGAACAAUCGAAUGAAAAACAGAGAGUAAAAUGUCUGAUCGUAUGAUGAUUUAGAGCUCAUCAUGGGAUUGACUUGAAGACCAACAUGAUGAUGAUGAGCUAAGACUCUCGAGCCAGACUUCAUCAGCAAGAAGUGUGUUGGAGUCAUUGUUUCUAUGCCACGACCAAUGUGCUCGUUUUCCGUCUAUAACCUUCAAUCUCCCAUGUCCAAAACUCGAUUCGCGGAAUACCGAUAAUGGCGAAGGAGGUUUCUUAAACCUGUAAUUCGAGUGAAAAAUAUGGAAAUUAAGAACCAUAAAAAGAACAAGAGUCUUGAGUUUAGAUUAAAUGAUAGAAGGUGACAUACGAAGUAGCAAGGCCUUCUCGGUUGCCUCCGUCACCAAUGGUUAUGUGUAUGGGUCCACAUUGAUCAGCCUUGUUGUUAUAUACCCGCUUCUGCAUCAAUCAGAAUUCGCCAUCAAUAUAAGUAACAAUAAUUAUCUUUGUUUGAAAAAUGAAGAUGGGUACUUACGAAACGUUCGUAGGCAUGAACAUGGCCGGCAAAAACGACGUCCACACGAGCAUUAAAUAGCAAAGACUCCAUAGCUUCCCUCAUGCUCUCUCCUUCACCUUCAUGCGCUUCGUUCGUGUUGUACCAAGGCGCGUGCAGCAACACUAUCACCCACGGUGUCGUUUUCCGGUCAACCUUUUGAAAUGAUAUUAAAAAAAAUAAUUAACAAAAAAUCUAAUUCUUAAGAAUUGAUAGAAAAGUUUGAAAUAAUGUGAAUUUAGGCAAUGUAUUCUUUUCACUAGUUUAUAAAAUAUGAUGUUUUGUUAUUUUACAAACAUUCUAAAAGUAAAAUAAUAUAUAUUUAUCAAUUUCAAUUGGAUAUAGUCUUAAAUAAUUACUAUGAUUUGAAUGAAUUCAUUACGUUGGUUAAAUAAUAAAUUUACCUGAAAGACGAUAAACUAUUUUUUGAUCCAGAUAUAACUUUUGAAAAGAUUUUUUUUGUGAAAGUGAUGAAAUGAUUGUAUACUAAACAUUGCAUAAUCCCGCAACUAACCUUUGCUAAAUCGGCUUGGAGCCACUGAUACUGAUCGGAAUCACAAUCAAAGUCGGUGUAAGAACCAAGCAUAACCGUGUGGACACCAGCGACAUCAAAAGAGUAGUAAAGGUUGGACUCAGAGAGGCUCUCAGUGUAAGGCAUGAGCCACCGGGAAUUGUAUGACUUGAAGGUUGUGUGUUCAAUGAUUGGGAAGAAUUCAAUCUCGUGGUUUCCCUGAGUAACCAUCCAAGGACGCUUGCUCGCGAGUGGCUCCACCAGGCGACCAAAGGAGUCCCAAAGUGGUUGAUUAGUGUCAGCGUAGGAGAGAUCGCCAGGAAGUAGAAAAACGUCGUAGUCUUGGCUCUUUAUCUGAGCUAGUGUUGCUGCUGUCCAUUCGGUUUGGCCUAGAUCGCCUUCAAUUUAGAGAAGAGAGUACUCUUAAGGAUAAAGGUAAAGGCUGGACUUCCAUUUUGGCUCCUCUUCCAGCGUGUCUUACUUCUCAUAUCUUUUUCAUUUUACGCACAUUUUUUGUAAUUCUCUUAUUACAUUAAAAUGAUCAUACAAUUAGAAUCAGUAUCAGCUAAAAAGAAUGAGUCACGUUUGAAAAAAAAUAUCCGACAUACUAGGAGUUAAAGAAAUUCCACAAUCAAUGGUUUUGAAUUUCUAUUGUUUUUUUCGAGAAAAUUGUUUUUUUUUUGUUGUUACUUAAAAUAUUACUUUUAUUAUAUUUUUAUCAGUUUCCAUCUUUUUUUAUUGUUACUAAAGCACCAGGCAACUUAUAACUAUAUGAUGUUCAUUACUUUCAUCUUACUCAUUUAGGAUUUACAUUUUCUUCUAGUAACAUCUCUUAUAUCCAGUAUUCUUGAAUUCCAUGCUGGCUUGGCUUGCAUCAUGCAGAUAUGACUACUUUCACCAGGUAAAAGCGUGAAGACAAAUAAUUGUUCCCCCACUAAUAAACAUUCCUAACACUAUCUUAGGAUACUUAAUUCUAAACCAACCCAAUCAAAGGAUUGCGUGCAUCAUUUCGCCCACCCUUCAAGCAUCAAAUUGAUCAAUUAUUAGAGGUUUUAUAUGUAUUUUUAUUUUAAUUGGACCGUCCAAAUGUUUUCUAAAAAAAACUCUGAUAAGUUGUCGAAACGAGUGGUAAAUUCGAGACCAAGUUGACAUAAAGAAGAAAGAUCCCAAGUGGUUCUUCCAAGGUAUCAACACGGUACAAUUUAUUAAUAACGCACACGGUGUAAAGUUUGACCCAUCUAAUGAGUUUUAUUUCUGGUGAGGAAAAGGACUUUAUUUUUGUAGGAAAAAAACAUUCAACCAUAAAAUUAAAUGAAAAUACUAUAUGAACCAAAUAAGUGACACCACCAUGACGACAUUUAAUCACUAGUAUAAGAUUUGAUCGUCUAAUAGAACUAGUACGUGUCUAGUAAUAAUUAUUCUCUUAUUUAUGAAAUCAAAUGUUUUUAAGAUAAUUUAUUUAUGUGUUUCCAGUUAAAAGUUAUUUAAAUAAAAUAUAAUUAAUCUGUAAUACAUAAAGCAUUAGUUUUAUUGUUUAGAAAAAGUUAGCGUAAUAUAAAAUUAAUAUAUGAAUGAAACGAAAUACCGUUAUCUUUCUAUUUAAUUCCCAGCAGCGUUGUCUCUGUUUUCGCCGUUGUUUCCUUUCUUCUCUCUCUCUCUCUCCUUUUGCUCUGCAUAUAUUGUCUCCCUUCCCGAUUCAAUCGUUUCUAGAAAAAAUCAAAAUAAGUGAAUCAUCUUUCUUCAUCUCUCUCAAGAACAGGUAAACACAACCUCUCUCAUCCGCUCCUUCCUUUUCUCCUAUCUUCUCUGUAUUAUUUUCCUUUUAAUAAACUCUCCUUCUCCUCUUCUUUUCCAUUUCUUUUUAUUUUACAAAGAAAGCGGAGGAAAAUUUUCUGAAUUUUUCUUCGCUUUUAGUACCCAUCUUUGGUUUUAUUACAAGAUUCUGGUUCGUGUUUUGUUCUUCCUUUUAUUAAUUCUGUAAAUUAAUUAAUCUUUUAAUCGAUUUUUUCCAGAUUUUCGACGAGCUUGAUCGAUCUAAAUUCUCAAGAUCUAUGGCGGAAGAGCAUCGAUGUCAGACGCCGGAAGGCCACCGUCUCUGUGCUAACAACUGCGGCUUCCUCGGCAGCUCCGCCACCAUGAAUCUCUGCUCCAAUUGCUACGGCGAUCUAUGCCUUAAGCAACAGCAACAAGCCUCCAUAAAAACCACCGUCGAAUCCUCUCUCUCCGCCGUAUCUCCUCCGUCGACGGAGAUCGCUUCCGUCUCUUCUCCGGUGAUCUCGCCUCUCGUUCAGAACCCAUCAGCUGAACUGGAGGUAACGACGAAAAACGUUCCGGCGACGUUGACUCCGCCGACGUCGCAGACGACGGCGGAGGAGAAGCAGCUGAAACGGCCGAAUCGCUGCACGACGUGCAGGAAACGGGUCGGGUUAACCGGGUUUAAGUGCCGGUGCGGGACGACUUUCUGCGGGGUCCACAGGUACCCGGAGGUCCAUGGAUGCACCUUCGACUUCAAAUCGGCUGGUCGUGAAGAGAUCGCGAAGGCGAACCCGUUGGUCAAAGCGGCGAAGCUUCAGAAGAUUUGAUCCGAGCCGUUCGAUGCGUUGACUUUUCUGUCUUCAUGUAAACGCGUCCGUCUCGGAGUAAUCAGGAUGGUGUGAGAUUGAUCUCAGCCGUUCAUCAUGGGUCAUUAUGUAAAAGAUAUGUAUUAUCAAUGGACACGUGUCACGUGACGCUUCCAUCUUCCC
rnacentral:lncRNA from 1 species